rnacentral:rRNA from 1 species
CCCUUAGAUGUCCUGGGCCGCACGCGCGCUACACUGACAUGUUCAACAAGCCUCCUAGUUCGACAGGAUUUGGGAAAUCUUUGAACGCAUGUCGUGAUAGGGAUAGAUCAUUGCAAUUAUUAAUCUUCAACGAGGAAUGCCUAGUAGGCGCAAGUCAUCAGCUUGCGUCGAUUACGUCCCUGCCCUUUGUACACACCGCCCGUCGCUCCUACCGAUUGGGUGUGCUGGUGAAAUGUUCGGAUCGGCCGUUUGUCGCGGUUUCCGCGUCAUGUGGCUGAGAAGUUCAUUAAACCCUCCCACCUAGAGGAAGGAGAAGUCGUAACA